UGCCAGCAGCCGCGGUAAUACGAAGGGACCCAGCGUAGUUCGGAAUUACUGGGCUUAAAGGGUUCGUAGGUGGUUAAAAAAGUUGGUGGUGAAAUCCCAGAGCUUAACUCUGGAACUGCCAUCAAAACUUUUUAGCUAGAGUAUGAUAGAGGAAAGCAGAAUUUCUAGUGUAGAGGUGAAAUUCGUAGAUAUUAGAAGGAACAUCAAUGGCGAAGGCAACUUACUGGGUCACUACUGACACUGAGGAGCGAAAGCAUGGGUAGCGAAGAGGAUUAGAUA
rnacentral:rRNA from 1 species